GAUGAACGCUGGCGGCGUGCCUAAUACAUGCAAGUCGAGCGAACAGACGAGGAGCUUGCUCCUCUGACGUUAGCGGCGGACGGGUGAGUAACACGUGGAUAACCUACCUAUAAGACUGGGAUAACUUCGGGAAACCGGAGCUAAUACCGGAUAACAUGUUGAACCGCAUGGUUCAACAGUGAAAGACGGUUUUGCUGUCACUUAUAGAUGGAUCCGCGUCGCAUUAGCUAGUUGGUAAGGUAACGGCUUACCAAGGCAACGAUGCGUAGCCGACCUGAGAGGGUGAUCGGCCACACUGGAACUGAGACACGGUCCAGACUCCUACGGGAGGCAGCAGUAGGGAAUCUUCCGCAGUGGGCGAAAGCCUGACGGAGCAACGCCGCGUGAGUGAAGAAGGUCUUCGGAUCGUAAAACUCUGUUAUUAGGGAAGAACAAAUGUGUAAGUAACUAUGCACGUCUUGACGGUACCUAAUCAGAAAGCCACGGCUAACUACGU
rnacentral:rRNA from 1 species